GGGCGGUAGCCAAUGAGCACACUCUCAGUGAGAGGCUAGGGUUAUAGGGCUUCCUGCUACCUGUGACAGUGAGGAAAUUGAUUUUGGCAUCAUGGGGAAAUCUCCGGGCCCUGAGGCCCUUGCCCGGUUCAUGAACUUUAUGGUAGCUCAUGGAGCACAGGUGGGCAUGGUGCACUACAAAAGCCCAUCAGCGAGAUGGGGAAGUAGGGGACCCCUGAGAGAUUACCCUUGGAGGCUGGCCAGCAGGAGAAAAAUUACGGGAUGUUAGAAGUCACUGUCUCCAGGCUUUUGCCUACAUGCCCUUGCCCGUCUCACGUAUAGAGAGAGUGGCGCGGACAUUUGAAGAAACCUCUCAGCGCUUGUGCAUCCUAAGCAACUGCAUACAGUUUCUGAUACAUGCCUGCCAGUGCUCCAAUGCCAGAUGUCAUCUGCUUCCCUGCCGGAAGAUAAAGUGGGUCGUGAAGCACAUCAAAGGCUGUAAACGGAAAACCAAUCGUGGAUGCUCCAUCUGCAGACAGUUUAUUACCCUCUGCCGCUACCAUGUCAAGCACUGCCAGGAGAACAACUGUUCGUUGGCAUUCUGCAUCAACAUCAAGCAAAACCUCCCAACAGCUGCAGCACCGGCUCCAGCAGGCUCAGAUGCACUGCAGGAGGAUGGCCAGCAUGCAACGGACAGGUGUGGCAGGACACCAGCUGGGUCUGCUAUCCCCAACUCCUGAGACUGCACUCAGUGCUUCUGACCAACAGCCAGCCAUUCCAUGCACACCCUAGACCUAACCCACAUCUCAAGGUCAGCCCACUCCUUCCAACAUCAUGCCACUCUGUUAGAGCCCACAAGACUCUACAGGAAAUACACAGCUGACAGAUUCAUAAAGCAUACCCACAGUGUACACUUUAUGGGCACCCCGUUUGCAGAUCUGCAGGUACAUUUGUCUUUUGGAAAAGUCGCUGUCAUAUCUGCGGAAGCCCUGUGAGGCUAUGAUUUUCCUCUUCAAAUUGGAAUUCACUCCCAAAAACCUCAGCAGUGUGACUUCUACACAGGCAAAGGACUGACCUUUGGUUCCCCCACAGCAGGAAGCCUUAGAGCAACAACGUUCACUCUUUGUUAUAAUGGUCAAAUUUAUAUAGAGGCAACCCCACACUAUUACCAGCUAACAAACCACAUAGAAAUUUCUAUAGUAAGAAAGGGACUGAGCAGGAAGGCAGCUGGCCCCGCCCUUACUAGACAGAGGGGUCUGGGUGAAGUCCAGGUUCAGGGACAUUUAGUAACUUUACCUAAUGGUUUGGAACUUCAGGUACUUCCCCUUGGUGCAGGCUCUUUCCCGGGUGGUGUCACCUGUUCUGGAGUAAAGCUUUGUCAGGUUCUACCUGCACUUUUUGUGAUUUUGAUUUGCAUAUUAUGGUUUUCCUGGCCCAUGGAAAUAUCCAACUAUGUCUGUAAAAACUAGAAACCUCAUGGAGAUCACCCCUUAUUCUUGUGAUUCUCACUGCUUAUUCGUGCAAAGGAAUAAAGAACAUGCAGCAAUAA